rnacentral:rRNA from 1 species
UACGUAGGCAGCAAGCGUUGUUCGGAGUUACUGGGCGUAAAGGGUGCGUAGGCGGCCGUGUAAGUGUGGUGUGAAAUCUCCCGGCUUAACUGGGAGGGUGCGCUACAGACUGCAUGGCUAGAGUGUGGGAGAGGAAAGUGGAAUUCCUGGUGUAGCGGUGAAAUGCGCAGAUAUCAGGAGGAACACCAAUAGCGAAGGCAGCUCGCUGGGACGUUACUGACACUGAGGCGCGAAAGCGUGGGGAGCAAACAGG